rnacentral:tRNA from 1 species
CCCGCCGUAGCUCAGCGGCAGAGCGCCCGGCUGUAGGUGGGGCGGGUAGGCCCCCCGCGCGCCCGACAACCCCGCAAUGGGGAGCGGAUGAGGGCGCGUCGGCAUAGCAGCGGGGGCCGCAGCAGAAACCGGGCGGUCCGGGGUUCGAAUCCCCGCGGCGGGA